rnacentral:rRNA from 1 species
ACUUUCAACAAACGGGAUCUCUGUGGGCUCUCGCAUCGAUGAAGAACGCACGCGAAAUGCGAUACGUAAUGUGAAUUCGCAGAAUCCAGUGAAUCAUCGAAUCUUUGAACGCAUAUUGCGCUCUCUGGUAUUCCGGAGAGCAUGCUUUGUUGGAGUAUCAGUAAACACCUCAACUCCCUUUCUUCUUGAAAUGGAGCUGGACUUGAGUGAUCCCAACGCUUUAUUCAUAAAGUGGCGGGUUACUUGAAAUGCAGGUGCAGCUGGACUUUUCUCUGAGCUAUAAGCAUAUCUAUUUAGUCUGCCUCAAAAACAGAUUAUUACCUUUGCUGCAGCUAACAUAAAGGAGAUUAGUUCUUGUGCUGACUGAUGCAGGAUUCACAGAAGACCGCUUCGGCUGUCUUGUAACUCGUC